CCCUUAGAUGUCCUGGGCCGCACGCGCGUUACACUGAUGCAUUCAACGAGCUUAUAACCUUGGCCGAGAGGCCUGGGCAAUCUUGUUAACGUGCAUCGUGAUAGGGAUAGAUUAUUGAAAUUAUUAAUCUUGAACGAGGAAUUCCUAGUAAACGCAGAUCAUCAAUCUGCAUUGAUUACGUCCCUGCCCUUUGUACACACCGCCCGUCGCACCUACCGAUUGAAUGGUCCGGUGAAAUCUUCGGAUUGAGACUUUGAUUUCUUCACGGAAAACGCUGUUUUAAAAAGUUGAUUAAACCUUACCAUUUAGAGGAAGGUGAAGUCGUAACA
rnacentral:rRNA from 1 species